UACUGAGUCAUUGCCAUCUGUAG
rnacentral:piRNA from 1 species